rnacentral:sRNA from 1 species
AACAAAGGAACAAAGACUAAGAACGCCGCGUCCUGCGGCA